rnacentral:rRNA from 1 species
GACGAACGCUGGCGGCGUGCCUAACACAUGCAAGUCGAGCGAAUGAAAUUCCUUCGGGAAUGGAUUUAGCGGCGGACGGGUGAGUAACACGUGGGCAACCUGCCUCAUAGAGGGGAAUAGCCUUCCGAAAGGGAGAUUAAUACCGCAUAAGAUUGUAGUAUCGCAUGAUACAGCAAUUAAAGGAGCAAUCCGCUAUGAGAUGGGCCCGCGGCGCAUUAGCUAGUUGGUGAGGUAACGGCUCACCAAGGCGACGAUGCGUAGCCGACCUGAGAGGGUGAUCGGCCACAUUGGGACUGAGACACGGCCCAGACUCCUACGGGAGGCAGCAGUGGGGAAUAUUGCACAAUGGGGGAAACCCUGAUGCAGCAACGCCGCGUGAGUGAUGACGGCCUUCGGGUUGUAAAGCUCUGUCUUCAGGGACGAUAAUGACGGUACCUGAGGAGGAAG